rnacentral:rRNA from 1 species
GACGUAGGAGGCGAGCGUUGUCCGGAUUCAUUGGGCGUAAAGAGCGCGCAGGCGGCUUGGUAAGUCGGAUGUGAAAUCCCGAGGCUCAACCUCGGGUCUGCAUCCGAUACUGCCCGGCUAGAGGUAGGUAGGGGAGAGUCGGAAUUCCUGGUGUAGCGGUGAAAUGACGCAGAUAUCAGGAGGAACACCGGUGGCGAAGGCGGAUCUCUGGGCCUUACCUGACGCUGAGGAGCGAAAGCGUGGGGAGCGAACAGG